rnacentral:rRNA from 1 species
GUAGGGAAUCUUCGGCAAUGGGGGCAACCCUGACCGAGCAACGCCGCGUGAGUGAAGAAGGUUUUCGGAUCGUAAAGCUCUGUUGAUAGUAAAGAACGUGUGUGAGAGUGGAAAGUUCACACAGUGACGGUAACUAUCCAGAAAGGGACGGCUAACUACGUGCCAGCAGCCGCGGUAAUACGUAGGUCCCGAGCGUUGUCCGGAUUUAUUGGGCGUAAAGGGAGCGCAGGUUGUUUUUUAAGUUGGGUGUAAAAGGCAGUGGCUUAACCGUUGUUGACAUCCAAAGCGGAAAGACUUGAGGACAGAAGAGGAGAGUGGAAUUCCAUGUGUAGCGGUGAAAUGCGUAGAUAUAUGGAGGAACACCGGAGGCGAAAGCGGCUCUCUAGUCUGUGCCUGACACUGAGGCUCGAAAGCGUGGGGAGCCAACAGGAUUAGAUACCCUAGUAGUCC